rnacentral:rRNA from 1 species
UACGUAGGGCGCAAGCGUUUGUCCGGAAUUAUUGGGCGUAAAGAGCUCGUAGGCGGUUUGUCGCGUCUGCUGUGAAAACUCGAGGCUCAACCUCGGGCUUGCAGUGGGUACGGGCAGACUAGAGUGCGGUAGGGGGUGACUGGAAUUCCUGGUGUAGUGGUGAAAUGCGUAGAUAUCGGGAGGAACACCAGUGGCGAAGGCGACUAUCUGGGCUGCAACUGACGCUGAGGCGCCGAAGGCUAGGGUAGCAAACAGG